AUUGAACGCUGGCGGCAGGCUUAACACAUGCAAGUCGAGCGGAGAUGAGGUGCUUGCACCUUAUCUUAGCGGCGGACGGGUGAGUAAUGCUUAGGAAUCUGCCUAUUAGUGGGGGACAGCAUUCCGAAAGGAAUGCUAAUACCGCAUACGUCCUACGGGAGAAAGCAGGGGAUCUUCGGACCUUGCGCUAAUAGAUGAGCCUAAGUCGGAUUAGCUAGUUGGUGGGGUAAAGGCCUACCAAGGCGACGAUCUGUAGCGGGUCUGAGAGGAUGAUCCGCCACACUGGGACUGAGACACGGCCCAGACUCCUACGGGAGGCAGCAGUGGGGAAUAUUGGACAAUGGGGGAAACCCUGAUCCAGCCAUGCCGCGUGUGUGAAGAAGGCCUUAUGGUUGUAAAGCACUUUAAGCGAGGAGGAGGCUACUGAGACUAAUACUCUUGGAUAGUGGACGUUACUCGCAGAAUAAGCACCGGCUAACUCUGUGCCAGCAGCCGCCGUAA
rnacentral:rRNA from 1 species